rnacentral:lncRNA from 1 species
CUGAAUCAUUUAAUUUAUAUUAAAUAUACAAAUGGUUGUAAGUAAAAUUCAAAAAGUAUUACACUCAUAUUUUUACGAAAGGGAAACUGGUAGGUUCUGUAUUUAACAUAAAUUAAUUAUGUGAAAGUAAUACUCGCAGGUAAUUUAAUUAGUUUAAUUAGUUACUUAAGUUAUGUUAAAUAGAUAACAUACUAGUUGACUUAAGAUUUAUGAAAACCGGCAUUUUCCCUGGCACAUCUAGUGCUUACAAUUUUUUGUAUUGUACUUACACCCCUCAACUUCAGUAAUCAUUCUAAUAAUUUAUUAUUCUUUCAAUCUUCUACUAAUACAAGGAGCAAAGGGGCAGCCAUGGAAUAAAAAUUCCUUCUCACACAUGAAAAUAAUAUUUUAAUCAGAUUUGGACUGCAUUGUUGCCAAAAACUCAAAAGCAAGGGAGGUCAGUGAAAUUUUGAGAACCUCAAGGGGUGCCAGUGAAAGUGUCAGAAACCUCAGGGAAGGUUUCUGAAAUUAUCCCUA